ensembl:lncRNA
GGAAUUUGUGCGUUUGCAAUAGCAUCUUUUUAUGUAGGUUUGACAGCGAAACUUAACGCACAGCAAAUGUACUAAAAUACACCGUUCUAGGUUUGGGUUUUUACAGGGAUGAGCAGCGGCAGUGGUUGGCAUUCCCCUGUGUUUAUGGUGUCGGCAGCCUCCUCCGUCAGUAGCACCGACAGCCUGGCUAGUGACACCAUCUCCCCACUGCCCAGGGACCACCAGAGGCCUCAUCAGGGCCCACAACACAUGUCAAGGCAGCAGCAGCACUUAUCCCAGGGGCCCAACUACCAUACCCACAAAUAAGGGGCUAGAUGAGAGCAGCAGUGAAGUCCAUCUCCUACCAGCCUCCCCCAGUGAGAGGGAGAUAGCAGUUCUUAAGAGGUGAAGUCUGAGGCAUCUCCAUAUCCAGACUGCAGUCCAAAGACAACAGGGCAGCAGCACCAGGCCAGCCACUCCUGCUUCAGGAGAGUCCUCAGAGGAAGAGUGACCAGGGUCAUAUUCAUUAGUGCACACUGUAGCAAAACUAUUUGCAGCCAAAAACAACUGUUUCUUAUCUGAUAAGUCCAGGUAGUCCCUCCAUUCCAGGAAAUGUUUUACUGUAGUACCAUAAGGGCACAUUUGAAUGAUGGUAC